GUAAAAGUGCUAUCCAGCGGUUUGAUCAGCAAGGAGUUAUUUUUGAAAGCAACGUCACCGGUAGCUCGGGUUUCUUUGCCAUCCAGCGGGAUAUCAAGAUGUAAGCGCCCACUGACAUCGCCGCCCACUUCCAAUUCAUCCAAGGCCGCGCCCACAGAAUCGGCUAAUGGCGAUGUUUUGAAGUAUUCAUGAACGGCCUUGCCAGAACCUGCCACCUUUGCGUCAACCAGCAGCUUUUCUUUCUGAUAAACAGGGAUUACGGCCGUGAUAUCUGUGCCGUCAACGUCGCCGAGUUUCGUGUGCGGCGCAUUCAUCCACAGGCCAUCGUUGAGGAAAUUCAAAUCGAUAGCGAGAUUAUUCAGCGGCUCCCAGUUUGGCUGGAAACGGAAAGUGGCAUC
rnacentral:ncRNA from 1 species